GAAAAUUAAGCAAUUGAACUUGAAUCAAUGGAGAAAUCUAAUGCAUGAACCCUUAAAUGCGAGUAGCUAACCUCAAUUUCUAAAGUGGCGUGAAGGAAGAAGGUUCAAGUACUAAGAAAUCGGAAGGCUCACAAGAUCGAGGUAAAUCCUCAAUUUAGGCGACUUGGAGAAUCGAAGCGAGCACGUGUUCAUGUUAUGUCAUACCAAGCGCUUCC